ACUAUUUUGGCAGAUUAGUGCAUUAAAUUUAGAAUUUAUUUAUGUAAUAGAGUUAUUACAAAUAGUA
rnacentral:tRNA from 1 species